rnacentral:rRNA from 1 species
CCUACGGGGGGCAGCAGUGAGGAAUAUUGGUCAAUGGGCGAGAGCCUGCACCAGCCAAGUCGCGUGAGGGAGUACUGCCCUAUGGGUUGUAAACCUCUUUUGUCGGGGAGCAAAAGCCGGACGUGUCCGGCUGUGAGAGUACGCGAAGAAAAAGCAUCGGCUAACUCCGUGCCAGCAGCCGCGGUAAUAUGGAGGAUGCGAGCGUUAGCCGGAUUUAUUGGGGUUAAAGGGUGCGCAGGCGGAUUUUUAAGUCAGCGGUCAAAUCGUGGGGCUCAACCCCAUCCAGCCGUUGAAACUGGGGAUCUAGAGUGUGCGAGAGGUAUGCGGAAUGUGUGGUGUAGCGGUGAAAUGCAUAGAUAUCACGCAGAACCCCGAUUGCGAAGGCAGCAUACCGGUGCACAACUGACGCUCAGGCACGAAAGCGUGGGUAUCGAACAGGAUUAGAUACCCGGGUAGUC